UGGGGAAUAUUGCACAAUGGAGGAAACUCUGAUGCAGCGACGUCGCGUGAACGAUGAAGGUCUUCGGAUCGUAAAGUUUUGUCCUUGGGGACGAUAAUGACGGUACCCAAGGAGGAAGCCCCGGCUAACUACGUGCCAGCAGCCGCGGUAAUACGUAGGGGGCAAGCGUUGUCCGGAUUUAUUGGGCGUAAAGGGUUCGCAGGUGGCCUAUCAAGUCAGGUGUAAAAGAUCAAGGCUUAACCUUGGUAAGCACUUGAAACUGAAAGGCUUGAGUUAAGGAGAGGAAAGUGGAAUUCCUAGUGUAGCGGUGAAAUGCGUAGAUAUUAGGAGGAAUACCAGUGGCGAAGGCGACUUUCUGGACUUAUACUGACACUGAGGAACGAAAGCAUGGGGAGCAAACAGG
rnacentral:rRNA from 2 species